UACGGAGGGUGCGAGCGUUAAUCGGAAUUACUGGGCGUAAAGCGCGCGUAGGUGGUUCAGUAAGUCGGUUGUGAAAGCCCCGGGCUUAACCUGGGAAUUGCAUCCGAUACUGCUAGAGCUAGAGUAUAGUAGAGGGAAGUGGAAUUUCCGGUGUAGCGGUGAAAUGCGUAGAUAUCGGAAGGAACAUCAGUGGCGAAGGCGACUUCCUGGACUAAUACUGACACUGAGGUGCGAAAGCGUGGGGAUCAAACAGG
rnacentral:rRNA from 1 species